UGAACGCUAGCGGCAGGCCUAACACAUGCAAGUCGAGGGGCAGCGCGGGGUAGCAAUACCCUGGCGGCGACCGGCGGACGGGUGCGUAACGCGUAUGCAACCUGCCCCUAACAGGGGGAUAACGGAGGGAAACUUCCACUAAUACCCCGUAUAGCCGCGGGCCGCAUGGUUCUGCGGCGAAAGCCUUCGGGCGGUUAGGGAUGGGCAUGCGUGGCAUUAGGUAGUUGGCGGGGCGACGGCCCACCAAGCCCACGAUGCCUAGGGGAGCUGAGAGGCUAAUCCCCCACACUGGUACUGAGACACGGACCAGACUCCUACGGGAGGCAGCAGUGAGGAAUAUUGGCAAUGGAGGGAACUCUGAACCAGCCAUGCCGCCGUGAGGGAGGAAGGCCCUACGGGUUGUAAACCUCUUUUGCCCCGGGGCAAUAAGGCGCAUGCGUGCGCCGGUGAGAGUACGGGGCGAAUAAGCAUCGGCUAACUCCGUGCCAGCCGCCGC
rnacentral:rRNA from 1 species